rnacentral:rRNA from 1 species
CCUACGGGCGGCAGCAGUGAGGAAUAUUGGUCAAUGGGCUUACGCCUGAACCAGCCAAGUCGCGUGAGGGAAGACUGCCCUAUGGGUUGUAAACCUCUUUUGUCAGGGAGCAAUUUGCGCUACGUGUAGCGUUAUCUAGAGUACCUGAAGAAAAAGCAUGGGCUAACUCCGUGCCAGCAGCCGCGUUAAUACGUAGGAUGCGAGCGUUAUCCGGUUUUAGUGGGUUAAAGGGGUGCGUAGGCGGAAUGCCAAGUCAGCGGUAAAAUCGCGGGGCUCAACCUCGCUCCGCGGUUGAAACUGGCGUUCUUGAGUGCGCGAGAAGUAUGCGGAAUGCGUGGUGUAGCGGUGAAAUGCAUAGAUAUCACGAAGAACUCCGAUUGCGAAGGCAGCAUACCGGCGCCCAACUGACGCUGAAGCACGAAAGCGUGGGUAUCGAACAGGAUUAGAUACCCCGGUAGUC